rnacentral:rRNA from 1 species
GACGAACGCUGGCGGCGUGCUUAACACAUGCAAGUCGAACGAUGAAGCCGGAGCUUGCUCUGGUGAAUUAGUGGCGAACGGGUGAGUAACACGUGAGUAACCUGCCCUUGACUCUGGGAUAACUGCGGGAAACUGUAGCUAAUACCGGAUACGACCCUCGGAGGCAUCUCCUGGGGGUGGAAAGAAUUUCGGUCAAGGAUGGACUCGCGGCCUAUCAGCUAGUUGGUGAGGUAAAGGCUCACCAAGGCGACGACGGGUAGCCGGCCUGAGAGGGUGAACGGGCACGCUGGGACUGAGACACGGCCCAGACUCCUCCGGGAGGCAGCAGUGGGGAAGAUUGCACAAUGAGCGCAAGCCUGAUGCAGCAACGCCGCGUGAGGGAUGACGGCCUUCGGGUUGUAAACCUCUUUUAGCAGGGAAGAAGCGAAAGUGACGGUACCUGCAGAAAAAGCACCGGCUAACUACGUGCCAGCCGCCGCCGUAA